rfam:Brassica napus, WGS project CCCW01000000 data, contig: 14957
CUGGAGAAAUGAUGAUAAAUCAGUAUAAAUCUUAGGACACCUUCUGACACACCUGUGUAUGAGAAUGACGUGUUGUUCUGAUCUUCAG